ACCUACGGGAGGCAGCAGUGGGGAAUAUUGCACAAUGGGGGAAACCCUGAUGCAGCGACGCCGCGUGAAGGAUGAAGUAUUUCGGUAUGUAAACUUCUAUCAGCAGGGAAGAAAAUGACGGUACCUCUUGAAUAAGCCACGGCUAACUACGUGCCAGCAGCCGCGGUAAUACGUAGGUGGCAAGCGUUGUCCGGAUUUACUGGGUGUAAAGGGCGUGCAGCCGGGAAGACAAGUCAGAUGUGAAAUCCCGCGGCUCAACCGCGGAACUGCAUUUGAAACUGUUUUUCUUGAGUACCGGAGAGGUC
rnacentral:rRNA from 1 species